rfam:Salmo salar isolate Sally breed double haploid chromosome ssa06, whole genome shotgun sequence.
UGCACUCACUACUGUAUAAGUCGCUCUGGAUAAGAGCGUCUGCAAAAAAUGACUAAAA